GCCUAUUCUCACAGCAGAGCUGCUCCAGCCCUUGGAUCAUCUUUGCAGUCCUCCUUGGGACUCACUCCAACAACUCUGUGUACUUCUUAUGAUGGGGACACUGGAACUGGAUGCAGUAAGGUGAUAAUGCCAGGACAUCAUGUGCUAGAUCAAAAUCAUCACAGCUGCAUGAUGCAAAACUCUUCUUCAUCAGAAACUCCCUCUAAAGUUUAUAGAACUGACAGAGUAAAAGAACUGCAUUUGAAGACUUGUGCAGGCUGUUUUAGAAGAUACAGCUCGGAGGAUAGCUGAUGAUAUUUCGGUGGGCAUAGAGUUCCUGCAUCCAGUGACAUG